AAUUUUUUGUUGAUAUAUUUAUA
rnacentral:snRNA from 1 species